AUUCAACGCUGGCGGCAGGCCUAACACAUGCAAGUCGAGCGGAUGAAGGGAGCUUGCUCCUGGAUUCAGCGGCGGACGGGUGAGUAAUGCCUAGGAAUCUGCCUGGUAGUGGGGGAUAACGUCCGGAAACGGGCGCUAAUACCGCAUACGUCCUGAGGGAGAAAGUGGGGGAUCUUCGGACCUCACGCUAUCAGAUGAGCCUAGGUCGGAUUAGCUAGCUGGUGGGGUAAAGGCCUACCAAGGCGACGAUCCGUAACUGGUCUGAGAGGAUGAUCAGUCACACUGGAACUGAGACACGGUCCAGACUCCUACGGGAGGCAGCAGUGGGGAAUAUUGGACAAUGGCCGAAAGCCUGAUCCAGCCAUGCCGCGUGUGUGAAGAAGGUCUUCGGAUUGUAAAGCACUUUAAGUUGGGAGGAAGGGCAGUAAGUUAAUACCUUGCUGUUUUGACGUUACCAACAGAAUAAGCACCGGCUAACUUCGUG
rnacentral:rRNA from 1 species